GAUGAACGCUAGCUACAGGCUUAACACAUGCAAGUCGCGGGGCAGCAUGGGGGUUGCUUGCAAUCCCCGAUGGCGACCGGCGCACGGGUGAGUAACGCGUAUCCAACCUGCCCUUCACCACGGGAUAACCCGGCGAAAGUCGGACUAAUACCGUAUGUUGUCCAUUGACGGCAUCCGAUUUGGACGAAAGGGUUGGCGGUGAAGGCUUGGGAUGCGUCCGAUUAGCUGGACGGCGGGGUGACGGCCCACCGUGGCGGCGAUCGGUAGGGGUUCUGAGAGGAAGGUCCCCCACACGGGAACUGAGACACGGUCCAGACUCCUACGGGAGGCAGCAGUGAGGAAGAUUGGUCAAUGGGCGUAAGCCUGAACCAGCCAAGUAGCGUGCAGGAUGACGGCCCUAUGGGUUGUAAACUGCUUUUAUGCGGGGAUAAAGUGGCCCACGUGUGGGUUUUUGCAGGUACCGCAUGAAUAAGGACCGGCUAAUUCCGUG
rnacentral:rRNA from 1 species